rnacentral:misc_RNA from 1 species
AAAAAAAAAUAAGAAGAGAGAGAGAGCACCUUCAAAGAGGGUUGUCAUUCAGUACUACAACUUGCUUCUUUGUUCAAUGUCAACUUCCCCGUUUCAUCUUGCGCGAAAAGCUUCUCAACUACAUCGUUCCAGUUAGUUCUUGCAUCGGUGGAAUGGCUUGUACUUGUGGAUGCAUCUUCUAUAAGAAAAGCCGUCUCUGUUACUCCUCGCCCUGAGUCGUCCUCUUUGUGUACCGAUAGUUCCUCAUCUGUGUCUGUUGGCACGGCGUGUGGAAUAUUCAAAGUGACAGCUCUUUCUAGUGCUUUCUUGUGUUCUUUUUCUAGGGUAUGCUGCCUUUCAAUUCUCUGCACCGGUGGUGGAGCUGUCGGUGCCUCAGCACUUGUAGCCUCCUUGAGUCUCGCUAACGCCUUCUCUGAUUCUCUUUGUAUCCAAAUAAUUCCGUGAUCAGAUGUUGCAUUGCAUGACAGCACAAUAUGCUCAAAUCUUCCAUCAACUGGGAUGGCAGUUCUAACAUCUGGAGGGAAUCUCCCACAUCUGCAAAAUUUUCUUUCAACAACGUGAUACAUUCGACCAGGUGCAUAUAAUCUUCUUGGAUCUCUGAGUUUCCUACCUUCUGGUAUGAAGGUAUCUCUCAAGCACACCAAAAAUAACAAGCAUGGUAAACAGAAGACGGAUUUGAAUAUAUCUUCCAGGGGGGUGGGAGUUCGUGGUAAGAAAUCAUCCUGCAAAACCACUGAGUGGAUAACAUCAGCAUAUUUAACAGCCAAAUUGAGUGACAUACACCUAGCAGGAGCAACAGCAUAGCAACGGAGUGAACUCCUUGGGAUACCCCCUAAUCUAUCCCCGUGAUUCGCCGCAAUUAUAGUCAACAAUGAUGCAACUCCAGAACCCAAAGAAUGUCCAACAAAUAUCAUCCUGUAACUCUUCCCAUUCUCAACCCAAAGCCUUUUCAAAGUCUCGGAUUCUUUAUUCAACAUCCAAAUUGCUGCCUUCAACAACCCAUGAUGCACAUACCCACCAUCAAACAUCUGCUUCCCAAGCUUAUUAUCCAUCAAGACUUUA